AACGCUGGCGGCGUGCCUAAUACAUGCAAGUCGAACGAACUCUGGUAUUGAUUGGUGCUUGCAUCAUGAUUUACAUUUGAGUGAGUGGCGAACUGGUGAGUAACACGUGGGAAACCUGCCCAGAAGCGGGGGAUAACACCUGGAAACAGAUGCUAAUACCGCAUAACAACUUGGACCGCAUGGUCCGAGUUUGAAAGAUGGCUUCGGCUAUCACUUUUGGAUGGUCCCGCGGCGUAUUAGCUAGAUGGUGAGGUAACGGCUCACCAUGGCAAUGAUACGUAGCCGACCUGAGAGGGUAAUCGGCCACAUUGGGACUGAGACACGGCCCAAACUCCUACGGGAGGCAGCAGUAGGGAAUCUUCCACAAUGGACGAAAGUCUGAUGGAGCAACGCCGCGUGAGUGAAGAAGGGUUUCGGCUCGUAAAACUCUGUUGUUAAAGAAGAACAUAUCUGAGAGUAACUGUUCAGGUAUUGACGGUAUUUAACCAGAAAGCCACGGCUAACUACGUGCCAGCAGCCGCGGUAAUACGUAGGUGGCAAGCGUUGUCCGGAUUUAUUGGGCGUAAAGCGAGCGCAGGCGGUUUUUUAAGUCUGAUGUGAAAGCCUUCGGCUCAACCGAAGAAGUGCAUCGGAAACUGGGAAACUUGAGUGCAGAAGAGGACAGUGGAACUCCAUGUGUAGCGGUGAAAUGCGUAGAUAUAUGGAAGAACACCAGUGGCGAAGGCGGCUGUCUGGUCUGUAACUGACGCUGAGGCUCGAAAGUAUGGGUAGCAAACAGGAUUAGAUACCCUGGUAGUCCAUACCGUAAACGAUGAAUGCUAAGUGUUGGAGGGUUUCCGCCCUUCAGUGCUGCAGCUAACGCAUUAAGCAUUCCGCCUGGGGAGUACGGCCGCAAGGCUGAAACUCAAAGGAAUUGACGGGGGCCCGCACAAGCGGUGGAGCAUGUGGUUUAAUUCGAAGCUACGCGAAGAACCUUACCAGGUCUUGACAUACUAUGCAAAUCUAAGAGAUUAGACGUUCCCUUMGGGGACAUGGAUACAGGUGGUGCAUGGUUGUCGUCAGCUCGUGUCGUGAGAUGUUGGGUUAAGUCCCGCAACGAGCGCAACCCUUAUUAUCAGUUGCCAGCAUUAAGUUGGGCACUCUGGUGAGACUGCCGGUGACAAACCGGAGGAAGGUGGGGAUGACGUCAAAUCAUCAUGCCCCUUAUGACCUGGGCUACACACGUGCUACAAUGGAUGGUACAACGAGUUGCGAACUCGCGAGAGUAAGCUAAUCUCUUAAAGCCAUUCUCAGUUCGGAUUGUAGGCUGCAACUCGCCUACAUGAAGUCGGAAUCGCUAGUAAUCGCGGAUCAGCAUGCCGCGGUGAAUACGUUCCCGGGCCUUGUACACACCGCCCGUCACACCAUGAGAGUUUGUAACACCCAAAGUCGGUGGGGUAACCUUUUAGGAACCAGCCGCCUAAGGUGGGAC
rnacentral:rRNA from 1 species